rnacentral:rRNA from 1 species
UACAGAGGGUGCAAGCGUUAAUCGGAAUUACUGGGCGUAAAGCGUGCGUAGUCGGCUUUUCAAGUCGGGUGUGAAAGCCCCGGGCUCAACCUGGGAAUUGCAUUCGAUACUGGAUGGCUAGAGUUCGGCAGAGGGAAGUGGAAUUUCCGGUGUAGCGGUGAAAUGCGUAGAGAUGUGGAGGAACACCGAUGGCGAAGGCAGCCUUCUGGGCCAACACUGACGCUCAUGCACGAAAGCGUGGGGAGCAAACAGG